rnacentral:rRNA from 1 species
UACGGAGGGUGCAAGCGUUAUCCGGAUUCACUGGGUUUAAAGGGUGCGUAGGAGGGCAGGUAAGUCAGUGGUGAAAUCUUCGAGCUUAACUCGGAAACUGCCGUUGAUACUAUCUGUCUUGAAUACCGUGGAGAUGAGCGGAAUAUGUCAUGUAGCGGUGAAAUGCUUAGAUAUGACAUAGAACACCAAUUUCGAAGGCAGCUCGUUACACGAAUAUUGACUCUGAGGCACGAAAGCGUGGGGAUCAAACAGG